GACAGAGGUGCUUGCACCUCUCGAUUUUAGCGGCGGACGGGUGAGUAACACGUGGGUAACCUACCUAUAAGACUGGGAUAACUUCGGGAAACCGGAGCUAAUACCGGAUAAUAUUUAGCUUCGCAUGAAGCAAUAGUGAAAGACGGUUCUGCUGUCACUUAUAGAUGGACCUGCGGUGUAUUAGCUAGUUGGUGAGGUAACGGCUCACCAAGGCAACGAUACAUAGCCGACCUGAGAGGGUGAUCGGCCACACUGGGACUGAGACACGGCCCAGACUCCUACGGGAGGCAGCAGUAGGGAAUCUUCCGCAAUGGACGAAAGUCUGACGGAGCAACGCCGCGUGAGUGAAGAAGGUUUUCGGAUCGUAAAACUCUGUUGUAAGGGAAGAACAAGUACGUUAGUAACUGAACGUACCUUGACGGUACCUUACCAGAAAGCCACGGCUAACUACGUGCCAGCAGCCGCGGUAAUACGUAGGUGGCAAGCGUUAUCCGGAAUUAUUGGGCGUAAAGCGCGCGUAGGCGGUCUCUUAAGUCUGAUGUGAAAGCCCCCGGCUCAACCGGGGAGGGUCAUUGGAAACUGGGAGACUUGAGUACAGAAGAGGAGAGUGGAAUUCCAUGUGUAGCGGUGAAAUGCGCAGAGAUAUGGAGGAACACCAGUGGCGAAGGCGGCUCUCUGGUCUGUAACUGACGCUGAGGUGCGAAAGCGUGGGGAUCAAACAGGAUUAGAUACCCUGGUAGUCCACGCCGUAAACGAUGAGUGCUAAGUGUUGGGGGGUUUCCGCCCCUCAGUGCUGCAGCUAACGCAUUAAGCACUCCGCCUGGGGAGUACGGUCGCAAGACUGAAACUCAAGGAAUUGACGGGGACCCGCACAAGCGG
rnacentral:rRNA from 1 species